UACAGCGGUCGUGUUUUGAGCUGUGUACGACUUAACAUUGGAUGAAAUUUAUGUAAGUUUGACUACGGCUUCUGCUUGGACAUUACACCGCCACAGCUGUUGGAUGUCGAUGAAAAUAAGCACCCGACGAGUGAGGCUGGGAACACCAGACUGCAAGGUGAGUCUCGUCAUCGACUUCACAGAUGAAAAGAAAAGAUGAGAGGCUUGGAUGAGUCAAGAGGAGGAAAGGAGAGUAAAGGCCAAGUUAAAUGGAGAGCCGUCAUUUCCAUGAGAAAAGAGUGCAGAGAAUGGACAGGGGCCACAUUUUCUCUCUCCGGGAUGUGUGCAGAUGCGAUCGAGGGGGCAGAAGGGCGACUUCAUCCAUCAUGUUGUGAAUAGGCAGGAAUUACCGCCUCAUGUCUUUGUACAGCACCUGAUCAAGACAUUCUUGACAAAAGUCAGGAAGAAAAGCGAUAUGAAAAGCUGCUAAAUA